CAAAUUAAAGCUUUAAGAAGCAUUUUAGUUACAUUAAAAAGAUUAUUUGUAUAUAAUUUGA
rnacentral:tRNA from 3 species